rnacentral:rRNA from 1 species
CACCUGUUUAUCAAAAACAUUUCUUAUCGCAACUAAUUUUAAGUAAAAUCUGCCCAAUGAAUUAAUUUAAAUGGCUGCAGUCUUUAUAGCUGUACUAAGGUAGCAUGAUGACUUGUUUUUUAAUUAAAAACUAGAAUAAAAGAUUAAAUGAAAUAUAAACUAUAUCAAAUAAAAUAAAAAUUAAAAUUAUUAUUUAAGUAAAAAAACUUAAAUAAAUUUAAAAGACAACAAGACCCUAUAGAAUUUUAUUUUUUAUAAAAAUUUAUUUUCUUAAUUAAAUUUAAAUAAAAUUUAUAAAAAAUUUAAUUGGGGUAAUUAAAAAAUUAAUUAAAUUUUUAUAUAAAAUAACAUCAAUAAAUGAAACUAUAAUUAAAUCAUCUUUAAUAAAAAUUAAUAAAAUUAAUUACCUUAGGGAUAACAGCAUAAUUUUUUUUAAAAGAACAAAUUAAUAAAAAAGAUUAUGACCUCGAUGUUGAAUAAG